rnacentral:rRNA from 1 species
CAGUAGCCGCGGUAAUACGUAGGGUGCAAGCGUUAAUCGGAAUUACUGGGCGUAAAGCGUGCGCAGGCGGUUUUGUAAGACAGAGGUGAAAUCCCCGGGCUCAACCUGGGAACUGCCUUUGCGACUGCAAGGCUGGAGUGCGGCAGAGGGGGAUGGAAUUCCGCGUGUAGCAGUGAAAUGCGUAAAUAUGCGGAGGAACACCGAUGGCGAAGGCAAUCCCCUGGGCCUGCACUGACGCUCAUGCACGAAAGCGUGGGGAGCAAACAGGAUUAGAUACCCCUGUAGUCCCUGUCUCUUAUAC